CUUUUUUUGUAGUGUUUUUAAGGUAUGACCUGCUCAAUGAUGUAUUAAAUGGCCGCAGUAUAAUGACUGUGCAAAGGUAGCAUAAUCAUUAGUUUUUUAAUUGGAGGCUGGAAUGAAUGGUUAGAUGAAAUAUAAUCUAUUUUGUUAUUAUUUAUUGAAUUUAAUUAUUGAGUUAAAAAGCUUAAAUUUAUUUUUGGGACGAUAAGACCCUAUAGAAUUUGAUAUUUAUUUUUAUUAGAGUUUAUGUUGAUGAGUAUAUAAUUAUAAUAAGUGUUUUAUUGGGGUGAUAUAAGGAUAUAAUUAAUUCUUUAUUGUUAAUUAUGUGAUUAGUAGAUUAUAUUGUGAUCCAUAACUUAUGAAUGUAAGAUAAAUUACCUUAGGGAUAACAGCGUGAUCUUUUUUUUGAGUUCUAAUUAGUAAGGGGGAUUGCGA
rnacentral:rRNA from 1 species